AAUAGAUACCCAGGUAGUCCACGCCGUAAACGAUGAGUGCUAAGUGUUAGGGGGUUUCCGCCCCUUAGUGCUGCAGCUAACGCAUUAAGCACUCCGCCUGGGGAGUACGGUCGCAGGACUGAAACUCAAAGGAAUUGACGGGGGCCCGCACAAGCGGUGGAGCAUGUGGUUUAAUUCGAAGCAACGCGAAGAACCUUACCAGGUCUUGACAUCCUCUGACAAUCCUAGAGAUAGGACGUCCCCUUCGGGGGCAGAGUGACAGGUGGUGCAUGGUUGUCGUCAGCUCGUGUCGUGAGAUGUUGGGUUAAGUCCCGCAACGAGCGCAACCCUUGAUCUUAGUUGCCAGCAUUCAGUUGGGCACUCUAAGGUGACUGCCGGUGACAAACCGGAGGAAGGUGGGGAUGACGUCAAAUCAUCAUGCCCCUUAUGACUUGGGCUACACACGUGCUACAAUGGACAGAACAAAGGGCAGCGAAACCGCGAGGUUAAGCCAAUCCCACAAAUCUGUUCUCAGUUCGGAUCGC
rnacentral:rRNA from 1 species